rnacentral:tRNA from 2 species
AAAGUUUUAGUUUAAUUUAAAAUAAUUCAUUUACAUUGAAAAGAUUAAUAUUUAAUUUUUAAUAAUAUAUAUUAAAAUUUUA